AUUGAACGCUGGCGGCAUGCUUUACACAUGCAAGUCGAACGGCAGCGCGGGCUUCGGCCUGGCGGCGAGUGGCGAACGGGUGAGUAAUACAUAGGAACGUGCCCAGUAGUGGGGGAUAGCUCGGCGAAAGCCGGAUUAAUACCGCAUACGACCUGAGGGUGAAAGCGGGGGAUCUUCGGACCUCGCGCUAUUGGAGCGGCCGAUGGCAGAUUAGCUAGUUGGUGGGGUAAAGGCCUACCAAGGCGACGAUCUGUAGCUGGUCUGAGAGGACGACCAGCCACACUGGGACUGAGACACGGCCCAGACUCAUACGGGAGGCAGCAGUGGGGAAUUUUGGACAAUGGGCGAAAGCCUGAUCCAGCAAUGCCGCGUGUGUGAUGAAGGCCUUCGGGUUGUAAAGCACUUUUGGCGGGAACGAAAAGGACUGUGCCAAUACCACGGUUCGAUGACGGUACCCGCAGAAUAAGCACCGGCUAACUACGUG
rnacentral:rRNA from 1 species